AUAACGGUCCUAAGGUAGCGAAAUUCCUUGUCGGGUAAGUUCCGACCCGCACGAAAGGUGUAACGAUCUGGAUACUGUCUCAGAGAGAGACUCGGUGAAAUAAAAAUAUCUGUGAAGAUGCGGAUUACCUGCACACGGACAGAAAGACCCUAUGAAGCUUUACUGUAACCUGGAAUUGCUCUCAAGCUUAUUUCGCGCAGCUUAGGUGGGAGACGUUGAACCUUUUCUUCCGGGAAAGGGGGAGUCAUCAGUGAGAUACCACUCUUGGUAAGCUAGAGCGCUCAUUUUUAACCGUUAUCCGGUAAAAAGACAGUUUCAGGCGGGCAGUUUGACUGGGGCAGUCACCUCCCAAAAGGUAAUGGAGGUGUACAAAGGUUCUCUCAGGCUGGACGGAAAUCAGCCAUAGAGUGUAAAAGCAUAAGAGAGCUUGACUGCGAGACGGACAUGUCAAGCAGAGACGAAAGUCGGUUUUAGUGAUCCGACGGUGCUGAGUGGAAAGGCCGUCGCUCAACGGAUAAAAGUUACUCUAGGGAUAACAGGCUAAUCUCCCCCAAGAGUUCACAUCGACGGGGAGGUUUGGCACCUCGAUGUCGGCUCGUCGCAUCCUGGAGCGGAAGUACGUUCCAAGGGUUGGGCUGUUCGCCCAUAGAAAGCGGUACGUGAGCUGGGUUCAGAACGUCGUGAGACAGUUUGGUCCAUAUCCUGUGUAGGCGUUUAGAGCAUUGAAAGGAUCUCCCCUUUGUACGAGAGGACCAGGUGGGGACAGACCGCUAGUGUACCAGUUAUUCCGCCAGGGGUAAACGCUGGGUAGCUAUGUCUGGAGUAAAUAACUGCUGAAAGCAUAUAAGUAGGAAGUUCACCUUAAGAUGAGUGCUCUUUUGUCAGCAAUGCCACUUUGGCAUGCAACUAAGACAAGCAAGGUCACGGCAAGACUAGCCGUUUGAUAGGCAUGAUGUAGAAGUACAGCAAUGUAUUCUGAAGCUGACAUGUCCUAAUAGACCGAGAGAUUUGAU
rnacentral:rRNA from 14 species